rnacentral:misc_RNA from 1 species
AUUGAAGCAAGCUGUCCCUGAUGGUCGUCAUCUACCUGCCUGGAGUCAUCCGCGGCAUUUAGCCGC